rnacentral:lncRNA from 1 species
AGAGAUUUCCCCUUCUCUGUUUCAGAUAUGAUCCCAGGGGACUGCUAUUGUCAUCUUGACCCUGUAAAGACAGUGAGGCUGAGGACAAGGCCCCCCGACCAAGAGGGCAGCGCUAAGAGAAGGAGACAGAGCCAGAUACUGCAGUGUCUACAACCACGCUUGGAGACACAUCAUUGUGUUCUGUCACACCAACCAGCCUGCACCAGAGACACAGGAAUCUUGAUCUUCUGGCAGAAAACUCUUCCAAAACAUUCCUAUGUGACACUGCUCAUGUAUAGGUGCUCCAAACCAAAUGUCCAGUUGCUUCCACCAUUGUGCAAAAAUGGGAGACCCUGCCGAGCAGCAGAUGGCCCUCAGCACGGCUGACACUCAGGCCAGGCCCCAGGUGGCAGCUCUCAGAACACACUGUCCAGCUAAACCCUGCACAGACUGGCCGUUGAAAAUACCUGGUGUUCACAUUCCCCAAAAGUUGGGCAAAUGACAGGGUCACCCAGUGCACUUCAUGGGGUCAGUGGGGAGAACCAGCAUUUCAGCACAAGUUCACAAAUCACUGGGUCCCCCUUGUCAAACACUGCAAAUAUGUAGCAUGCUAAGAAAAAUCUCCUUACCUCUCAGACUCUGUAUCACUCAGUUCAUCUGAGUUGCUACAAUGGACAAUAAAAUCUAAUAAGUUAAAAUGAGGUAUGGAAUGCUCAGGAGAAAAACAACAAGGACUAGUACUCCUCAUCUGAGUAAAUAAUUUCUCUCACAGGGUUAAUUUUAGCUUUGCAAGUUUUUUAUUUGAGAUUAUAUUUUAAA